rnacentral:rRNA from 1 species
GGAUGCGAUCAUACCAGCACUAAAGCAUCGGAUCCCAUCAGAACUCCGAAGUUAAGCGUGCUUGGGCCAGAGUAGUACUAGGAUGGGUGACCUCCUGGGAAGUCCUCGUGUUGCAUUCC